CUCACCACCCCUCCCCCCUGCUCUGUAUUCUAAGGACACAUGGCUGCACAGGAGAAGGACCUCACAGAGAAGAGAAGUGUUAUCUGAAGGGGAGGAUGAGAAGACGUAUACCGUAAGCCCACUGCCACCAACUCCCUUUUGCAUGCAGCCUCCUCACAUACUCCAUCAACUAUCAAAGCCAUACCAACAGGACAAUUCCUGAGAAUACGUAGAAUUUGCUCCUCGGAUGAUGAUUUCAAGAAACAAAGUGCAAUACUUACGGAACGUUUCCUCCAGCGUGGUUACAGCAGACGAUCUCUCAAAAAGGCCUAUCAGAAAGCUCAACAUGUACAUAGAGAGGACCUCCUACAAGAUUUUAACCGUUGGGAAUUUUUUCCAGUAACAUCAGUCAGCUCCCUUUAUACCUCGUACAACAGCUGAUGCACCUACUUCAUGAAGCACUAUACUUUGGUGAAAGAUGAAGCCAAU